GCUGUAACUGCUGUUGCUGUAACUGCUGUUGCUGUAACUGCUGUUGUUGCAAUUGAUGUUGCUGUAACUGCUGUUGCUGUAACUGCUGUUGCUGC